rnacentral:tmRNA from 1 species
GGCGAAACAGGAUCGACGAGGGCGUAAAGGGCGCGCUUUUUCCCGGUAUUGUUCCGCCGUUAUCGGGCUACUGCAAUAGUUGCCAACGACAACUAUGCUCCGGUUGCUCAGGCUGCGUAACGCAGUUUGAAAGACCAUCUUGAAGUCCUAGCGGGUUAAGCUCCGCUAGGCGGGGUUCGGAGGCACCUGGCAACAGAAGCCUCCACU